rnacentral:rRNA from 1 species
CCUACGGGAGGCAGCAGUGGGGAAUAUUGCACAAUGGGCGGAAGCCUGAUGCAGCGACGCCGCGUGGGGGAUGACGGCCUUCGGGUUGUAAACUCCUUUCGACAGGGACGCGGUACCUGUAUAAGAAGCACCGGCUAACUACGUGCCAGCAGCCGCGGUAAUACGUAGGGUGCGAGCGUUGUCCGGAAUUACUGGGCGUAAAGAGCUCGUAGGUGGUUUGUCGCGUCGUCUGUGAAAUUCCGGGGCUUAACUUCGGGCGUGCAGGCGAUACGGGCAAACUUGAGUGCUGUAGGGGAGACUGGAAUUCCUGGUGUAGCGGUGAAAUGCGCAGAUAUCAGGAGGAACACCGAUGGCGAAGGCAGGUCUCUGGGCAGUACUGACGCUGAGGAGCGAAAGCAUGGGUAGCAAACAGGAUUAGAUACCCUUGUAGUC